AGUAACCUGCCUUGGAGUGGGGAAUAACAGCUGGAAACAGCUGCUAAUACCGCAUGAUGCAGUUGGGUCGCAUGGCUCUGACUGCCAAAGAUUUAUCGCUCUGAGAUGAACUCGCGUCUGAUUAGCUAGUUGGCGGGGCAACGGCCCACCAAGGCGACGAUCAGUAGCCGGCCUGAGAGGGUGGACGGCCACAUUGGGACUGAGACACGGCCCAAACUCCUACGGGAGGCAGCAG
rnacentral:rRNA from 1 species